rnacentral:rRNA from 1 species
AGCGUAGGCGGAUUUUUAAGUGAGAUGUGAAAUACUCGGGCUUAACCUGAGUGCUGCAUUUCAAACUGGAAGUCUAGAGUGCAGGAGAGGAGAAGGGAAUUCCUAGUGUAGCGGUGAAAUGCGUAGAGAUUAGGAAGAACACCAGUGGCGAAGGCGCUUCUCUGGACUGUAACUGACGCUGAGGCUGAAAGCGUGGGUAGCAGACA